rnacentral:lncRNA from 1 species
GUUUUGGGGCACAAUUCAGUGAGGUUUUACGUGUUGUUGGAGUUGCAUCUUGGUCAGUUUAGCUCAGAAAAUGCUGCCCUCGUCAAUCUGCCGCCACAGGAGGGAACCUACUCCUGCCUAAUGAGCGGGCCGACCCUGUGAAUAUCAUAUGGAAAGUUAAGUAAUGUCCUCUGAAGCAUACAUGUGACCACAUAAAUGGAGCAGAGGUGUUGAAGCAUUGGGGCUUGUUGUCCCAGUAGACACCCAGGAAGUAGACAGGGACUCCAGAUGAUGGCCAGGCCGAUACCACCAGCUCAGAGUACAGCGGGGAAGACGACCAGGAAGGCCCAGAACAGCAGGUAGAUCACUGGCCACACCGGGCUCACCCAAUGACAGUCAACAAUCUAUACACAAGCACACUAUACACCGUGGUAGGCAAAUGGAUUCAGCUGCAGGCCGAUUUUUGUCAGAUCGGAUGGUAAUAAUUUGUACAUGGAAAAUUGACCACAAUUAAGCCCACAAAUAGGUUGUAUUUGAAAAGGACAAUCAUUUUAUACCUUGGUUACAUUGAGACACGAUCACGUCUCUUUAUUCGUGGGAAUACUUCGAUUUUCGAAAUGAAACGCAUUUCUACAUGAAUUUCUAGUGAUUUUAUAGUCUUUGUUGACAAAAAACUAAAACCACUUUUUUUUUUUUAAUCUCCCGCAG